UGGUGGAUCGUCUAACGGUAGGACAGCGGACUCUGGAUCCGCGAAUCUAGGUUCGAAUCCUAGUCCACCAGCCA
rnacentral:tRNA from 1 species